CAACGUUGGCGGCGCGCUUAACACAUGCAAGUCGAACGAGAAAGUGGAGCAAUCCAUGAGUACAGUGGCGUACGGGUGAGUAACACGUGGGUAUCUACCUCUUAGUGGGGAAUAACCCUGGGAAACCGGGGCUAAUACCGCAUAAGCCUGAAAGGGGAAAGUCGAAAGACGCUGAGAGAGGAGCCCGCGGCUGAUUAGCUAGUUGGUGGGGUAAAGGCUCACCAGGGCAAAGAUCGGUAGCCGGCCUGAGAGGGCACACGGCCACACUGGCACUGAAACACGGGCCAGACUCCUACGGGAGGCAGCAGUGGGGAAUCUUGCACAAUGGGGGAAACCCUGAUGCAGCGACGCCGCGUGAGCGAUGAAGCCCUUCGGGGUGUAAAGCUCUUUCGACGGGAACGAUAAUGACGGUACCCGGAGAAGAAGCUGCGGCUAACUACGUGCCAGCAGCCGCGGUAAUACGUAGGCAGCAAACGUUGUUCGGAAUUACUGGGCAUAAAGAGUGUGUAGGCGGUUGGGUAAGUUUGGUGUGAAAUCUCCCGGCUUAACUGGGAGGGUGCGCCGAAAACUGCCUGGCUUGAGUACUGGAGAGGAUAGCGGAAUUCCUGGUGUAGCGGUGAAAUGCGUAGAUAUCAGGAGGAACACCUGCGGUGUAGACGGCUGUCUGGACAGUAACUGACGCUGAGACACGAAAGCGUGGGGAGCAAACAGGAUUAGAUACCCUGGUAGUCCACGCCCUAAACGAUGCAUACUUGGUGUGGGUGAUUCAUUUUAUCCGUGC
rnacentral:rRNA from 1 species